CCGGGUCGGAGGCGGUGCGGGAGCGCAGCCGCGCGGAGCCGGAGCAGCACGCGGGAGCGCGGCCCCGCAGCGGGCCGGCCCGAGGGAGAAGCGCCGCGACCCGGCGCCGAGGUGACCUGGGCCCGGAGCGCGGAUCCUGGCUCUGAGAGCGACCCCGGACCGAGCGCGGACCCCAGCCCCGAUACCGGCCCUGAGCGCGGCCUCGCCGGUCCUGGCUGCCGGGCCGCGGGCAUGGACGGCGCCCGUUCACCCUAGAUGGACGACGAUGGCGGCCGCCGAGAAGCCCCCGGCGCACUGAUGGAGGCCGGGCGCGGUGCGGGGCCCGCGGGCAUGGCGGAGCCCGCGGCGGUGCCGCGGGCGCGGGCGGCGCGGCCCGGGCCCCAGCGUUUCCUGCGGCGCAGCGUGGUGGAGUCGGACCAAGAGGAGCCGCCGGGCCUGGAGGCUGCCGAGGCCCCGGGCGCGCAGCCCCCGCAGCCGCUGCAGCGCAGGGUGCUGCUGCUCUGCAAGACGCGCCGCCUCAUCGCUGAGCGCGCCCGCGGACGCCCGGCUGCCCCCGCUCCUGCCGCGCCUGCAGCGCCGCCGGGCGCCCUUGCCGACCCGGUCCCCGAGCCUGCUGGCACGCAGGAGCCUGGCCCAGACCCCGCGCCCACGCCGGUCCCGGAUGGUGGCCCCAGCGAGGAGGAGGCGGAAGCUGCGAAGAAGGAGGACGCUGGGGCGCCCGAGGCGAGGCCUGAGCUCGGGCGCACACGCCGGGAGGAGCCCGAGGAGGAGGAGGACGACGAGGAUGACCUCAAGGCCGUGGCCACCUCCCUGGAUGGCCGCUUCCUCAAGUUCGACAUUGAGCUUGGCCGAGGCUCCUUCAAGACGGUCUACAAGGGGCUGGACACUGAGACCUGGGUGGAGGUAGCCUGGUGUGAGCUGCAGGUGAGGGACGCGCUGACUGCAGGUGGGCAAGACCGGAAGCUCACCAAGCUGGAGAGGCAGCGAUUCAAGGAGGAGGCCGAGAUGCUGAAGGGCCUGCAGCACCCCAACAUCGUGCGCUUUUAUGACUUCUGGGAGUCCAGCGCCAAGGGGAAGCGGUGCAUCGUGCUGGUGACCGAACUGAUGACCUCAGGGACACUGAAGACGUACCUGAAGCGGUUCAAGGUGAUGAAGCCCAAGGUCCUGCGCAGCUGGUGCCGGCAGAUCCUGAAGGGCCUACUGUUCCUGCACACCAGGACGCCCCCCAUCAUCCACCGGGACCUCAAGUGUGACAACAUCUUUAUCACCGGGCCCACAGGGUCCGUGAAGAUUGGUGACUUGGGCCUGGCCACCCUCAAGAGAGCAUCAUUUGCCAAGAGUGUGAUAGGUACACCUGAAUUCAUGGCGCCAGAGAUGUACGAGGAGCACUAUGAUGAGUCCGUGGACGUUUACGCCUUUGGGAUGUGCAUGCUGGAGAUGGCUACCUCGGAGUACCCCUACUCAGAGUGCCAGAACGCUGCCCAGAUCUACAGGAAAGUCACCUGUGGCAUCAAGCCGGCCAGCUUUGAGAAAGUGCAUGAUCCUGAAAUCAAGGAGAUUAUUGGGGAGUGUAUCUGCAAAAACAAGGAGGAAAGGUAUGAGAUCAAGGACCUGCUCAGCCAUGCCUUCUUUGCGGAGGACACAGGUGUGAGAGUGGAGCUGGCCGAGGAGGACCAUGGCAGGAAGUCCACCAUAGCCCUGCGGCUCUGGGUCGAGGACCCCAAGAAACUGAAGGGCAAGCCCAAGGACAACGGGGCCAUCGAAUUCACCUUCGACCUGGAGAGGGAGACACCGGAUGAUGUGGCACAGGAAAUGAUUGAGUCAGGAUUCUUCCAUGAGAGUGAUGUGAAGAUCGUGGCCAAGUCCAUCCGUGACCGCGUGGCAUUGAUCCAGUGGCGGCGGAAGAGGAUCUGGCCAGCGCUGCAGCCUCAGGAGCAGCGGGACCCCGGCAGCCCUGACAAGGCCAAGGGCCCCCCUACGCCACUGCAGGUCCAGGUGACCUACCACUCACAGGCCGGGCCACCAGAGCCUGAGGAGCCCGAGGCUGACCAGCACCUGCUCACUCCAGCGCUGCCGGCCAGCGCCACCUCCCUGGCCUCGGACAGCACGUUCGACAGUGGCCAGGGGUCCACAGUGUAUUCGGACUCGCAGAGCAGCCAGCAGAGCGUUGUGCUGGGCUCGCUGGUGGAUGGAGCACCACCCCCCGCCCAGUGUGUGUGCAGCCCCCCUGUGAGCAUGAGUGAUGGGCCUGUCCUGCCACACAGCCUGCCCUCACUGGGGGCCUACCAGCAGUCUGCUGUGCCUGGCCUGUCAGGGGGCUCCAUCCCGCCCCCCACCCACCCUCCGCUCCCACAGCAGCAUUUCCCAGAGCCGGCCAUAACCUUCGCUCCUGUACUGCCGCCUCCCAGUGCCCCUGUGCCAACAGGCCCAGGCCAGCCCACACCCCCCACCCACCAGCCUCCUCUGCUGGCCCAGCCGGUACCCCUGCCACAGGUCCUGGCCCCACAGCCUGUGGGUGCUCUCCAGCCAGUGCCCCCGCACCUGCCGCCAUACCUGGCUCCAACGUCCCAGGUGGUAGCCCCUGCUCAGCUGAAGCCCCUCCAGAUGCCACCAGCGCCCCUGCAGCCGCUUGCUCAAGUCCCUCCACAGAUGCCUCCGCUUCCGGUCGUCCCCCCCAUCGCCCCCCUGGCCACUGUCGACAGCCUCCCUGCAGCCCUCCCUGACCUGCCGGCCACCACAGGGCCUGCUGUGCCUCCCCCGUCUCAGUAUUUCUCCCCAGCUGUCAUCUUGCCGAGCCUUCCACUCAAUGCCGCCACUGCCCCACUGUCCGCAUCACCGGCCCUGCCUCUGCAGGCAGUCAAGCUGCCCCACCCAGCUGGGCCACCACUGGCCGUGCCAUGCCGGACCAUCGUGCCAAACGUGGCGGCCACUGCCACCGCCAUCCCUCUUCUGGCUGUGGCCCCACAAGGCGUGGCUGCCCUGUCCAUCCACCCUGCUGUGGCUCAGCUCCCAGCUCAGCCCGUGUACCCAGCAGCCUUUCCACAGAUGGUGCCCAGCGAGGUCCCACCUUCUCCCCUCCACACAGUGCAGACUGUGCGGGCUGCCCCCCAGCAGCCGGCAGCCCCCAUGCUGUCACAACCCCACCAGCCACAGCCAAGUGUUGCCCGCCUUCCAGAGCAGACUGCUCCGGCUGCCAGUGCUGGGAGCCAGAUCCUGCUUGGCCACCCACCUCCAUACGCCGUGGACAUCACCACCCAGGUCCCCACGGUGCCCGCACCUGCUGCCGUUAUCUCCCCACCUCUGCCAGAAGCGCUGCCGCCUGCUGCCCCCGAGCUCCUGCCUCAGCUCCCUGGCUCCCUGGCCCCCACAGUGGUGGCGCCUGCUCAGAGCUUGUCUGUCCAGACUACUGCGCUCCUGCCGCCUGCUAACUUGCCGUUGCCCAGCGGGCCUGGGGUCACUGGCCCCUGCCCAGCCGUUCAGCUGACGGUGGAGCCGGCCCCGGAGGAGCAGGCCUCACAGGACAAGCAGCCCAGCCUCCCUCAGAGCUGUGAGAGCUACGGAGGUUCCGACGUCCCUUCUGGAAGAGAAAUGAGUGACAGCUGUGAAGGUGCAUUUGGUGGGGGGAAGCUGGAAGGCAAGGCUGCCCGGAAACAUCACCGCAGGUCCACGCGUGCACGCUCCCGCCAGGAGCGAGCCAGCCGACCCCGGCUGACCAUUCUGAAUGUGUGCAACACAGGUGACAAGAUGGUGGAGUGUCAGCUGGAGACGCACAACCACAAGAUGGUGACGUUCAAGUUCGACCUGGAUGGGGAUGCACCUGAUGAGAUCGCUACCUACAUGGUAGAGCACGACUUCAUCCUGCAGGCCGAGCGGGAGACCUUCAUCGAGCAGAUGAAGGACGUCAUGGACAAGGCAGAGGACAUGCUCAGUGAGGACACGGAUGGCGACCGUGGCUCCGACCCAGGGGUGAGCCCGCCGCACCUCGGCACCUGUGGCCUGGGCGCCAGGGAGGAGAGUCGCCAAUCCCAAGCAAAUGCUCCUGUGUAUCAGCAAAAUGUCCUGCACACUGGGAAGAGGUGGUUUAUCAUCUGUCCAGUGGCUGAGCACCCAACAACAGAGGCUCCUGAGUCUUCGCCCCCACUUCCUCUGAGCCAACCAAGCCAAGACCCAGCGCCCUGUGCAGAGCCGCUGUCCUCAAAGGAAAAACCCAGCUUCCUGGCUGGUCCACAGCUUCUGAGCCAAGCAGGCCCCAGGGACCCUCCUGGCGGCGCACCAGCUCCUUUGAUGCCAUCCUCCCCUCCCGUGACUGCUGUGCCCCAAGAUGUGGCCCUACCAGCCACCAGUCCUAAGCCAGAGCCAGCAACAGCGGCUGCCAUGCAGGCCGGGGGCCCAGGGACCCCUCAGGGGCCGGCCAGUGAGCAUAAGCACCCCCGGCCAUUAGUGGAAACUCAAGAUGCCCAGCUUGCUGCUCAGCCCCCUGGCAUGGUGCCAGAGCCUUGCGCCCCACCUCCAGAGGCCCCCCUCCACCCGCCAGGUCUUAGGGAUUCCACCUCAGCCAGAGAGUCCAGCACCAGGGGGGAGCCAUUUUCGGCAUCAGCUUCUGCAUCUGGUGCCCCUUGCGGGGCCCCUCAGCCCACCCUGGGCCAACCCCUUCCCCCACUCCCCCCUGUGGUGGGGGCCAUCAGCCUGGCCACCCCUCAGCUCCCCAGCCCCCCAAUGGCACCCACUGCCCCACCUCAGCCCCCCUCGGCCUUGGAGUCAGAUGGGGAAGGGCCACCCCCAAGGGUGGGCUUCGUGGACAGCACCAUCAAGAGCCUGGAUGAGAAGCUGCGAACUCUGCUCUACCAAGAGCAUGUGCCCACUUCCUCAGCCUCAGCCGGGACCCCUGUAGAAGCGGGUGACCGAGACUUCACCCUGGAGCCCCCUAAAGGGGACUGGCCCUGCACAGAGGCCUCCGGGGGCGACCUGGCCCUGCUGCCCCAGCAUGCCAUGGAAAUGUCCGAAGCGACCCCUGGAUUAGGGACCACCUUGGAGCAGGCCAUGGCCUUGCCAGUGACAGCAGAAUCAUCUUUGAGCUACACGCUGGGCUGUGAGGGAGGACAGGUGGCCCCAGAUUUGCCCACAGCACCCAGCGCUCCUCAGGAUGCCCCAGCUCCUACCAUCCCUGCGCCUCCGGAGCCCACAGACCGGCCUGGCAGGGUCCCUGGGGAAACCUUGGCCAAAUCCACACAGAGCUGCCUGGGGACGUCGACCGAGGCUGGCCAGGACAGUCACCCCCAGACACAUGGCGCUCAGGUCUCGGGGUCUGCUCAGAAGUGGCCAGGGCAGCAGGACGGCAGUUCACCAGCCAAAACUGUGGGCCGGUUCUCGGUGGUCAGCACCCAGGAUGAGUGGACUCUGGCCUCCCCCAGUAGCCUGCGGUACUCAGCCCCACCCGAUGUGUACCUGGACGAGGCCCCCCACAGCCCAGACAUGAAGCUGGCUGUGCGGCGGGCGCAGACAGCCUCCUCCAUCGAGGUUGGCAUGGGCGAGCCCAUGUCCAGUGACUCUGGGGAUGAGUGCCCGCACCGAAGGCCCCCCGUCCAGAAGCACGCCUCCCUGCCAGGCAGCAGUGGGGGUGUGGCCAGUGACUUUGUGAAGAAGGCCACCGCCUUCCUGCAUAGGUCCUCUCGGGCUGAUUCCCCAGGCCUGGAGACACCCAGCAGGACAGGUGUGAAGGUCCCCACCAUCAGUGUGACCUCCUUCCACUCCCAGUCAUCCUACAUCAGCAGUGACAACGACUCCGAGAUUGAGGAUGCCGACAUCAGGAAGGAGCUGCAGAGUCUGCGAGAGAAGCACCUGAAGGAGAUCUCCGAGCUACAGAGUCAGCAGAAGCAGGAGAUCGAGGCCCUGUACCGCCGCCUUGGCAAGCCGCUGCCCCCCAACCUGGGCCUCUUCCACACGGCACCCCCUGUCGGCCGCCGGAGGAAGACCAGCAAGGGCAAGCUGAAGGCGGGGAAGCUGCUGAACCCCCUGGUGCAGCAGCUCAAGGUCGUGGCCUCCAGCACAGGUCACUUGUCAGACUGCAGCAGAGCCCCUCCUGCUAAGGACCCUGCCCACGCUGGGACAGGGCCCGCAGCAGCUUCAGACCCAUGUGGGAAGGCAGUUCAGACUCAGCAGCCCUGCUCCGUGCGGGCCUCCCUGUCUGCAGACAUCUGCUCCGGCUUGGCCAGUGACGGAGGCGGAGCGCAUGGCCCAGGCUGGACAGUGCACCACCCAACGUCUGAGAGAGUGACCUAUAAGUCUAGUAGCAAACCUCGCGCUCGAUUCCUCAGUGGACCCGUGUCUGUGUCCAUCUGUCUGUAUUUGUUCUUUUGUAUUUUAUCACUUCCUGGCCCUUGGUUUCUCCCCCGACCCUCCCUGUCUUCAUUACCUUCCAUACAUUUCGUAGGACGCCUACCCCAUGCCAUUCAAAUCACCUAUUGAAUAUAAAAAAAUGGAACCCCAUCCAUGCCCACCCUUCUGGCCCCAGAAAGCGCCAGUGCAUGCUCUUGGCUCAUGCCCGGGCACCAAAAGCAUGUGCAGUGGCUUGUCCACUCCGGGCCUCAGGCACUCUGUCCCUCAGACCCCAGGGUGCUCUGCAUAUCUCUCGUCACCCGUUUGUUUAGUGUUGUUACUUUUUUUUUUUUUUUUUUUUUAUGUUGGACGUAGUUUUAUUUCUGUUGCAAUUGUGGCAAAUUUACUCGUCCGCUGUCCCCAGUUCCAGCGACAACAAAAAGACAACCCCGGCCUCUCUAGACGCAUGGUGUGUUUCACACGUGUCUGGACUCUGAAGACAUGCAUGUAACGAGCCGAGACAGUUCUAGAAGGGUCUGCCUUGAAGCGUCUCUGUCUAGGCAAAGAGCACAGCAGUCGGUCCUCCACCAGCAGCCUGGUCCCAGGCCCUGAGCCGGGCCCCCAGCCUGCCCUGCACAUCCAGGCACAGGUGAACAACAGUAACAACAAGAAGGGCACCUUCACAGACGACCUGCACAAGCUGGUGGACGAGUGGACAAGCAAGACGGUGGGACCCACUCAGCUGAAGCCGUCACUCAACCAGCUGAAGCAGACGCAGAAGCUGCAGGAUAUGGAGGCCAUGGCAGGCCGGCCCCCAGCUCCUGGCGAGGCACGGGCUAUGAACACGCCUCGAACAGCAGUGGGGACGCCGUGUCUGGCCCCGGCACUCAGCCCUCUACCCACCGUGGUCAUUCCCGGAGCUGCCCCAGCCCUGCCUGUGCCCAUGCCAGGUACUCCCCUCUCCUGCCUCCCAGCCCCACCCUAUGCACUGCCUUCAGGCCCGUAUGGAAACCUGCUCCCAGCUCCAGUGUUCUGGGGGCCCUGGGCAGCCCAGGCUGGCAGUCGGAGCUCCCCAGGCACGCCAGCACUCCCCAUGUUCCUGCAGCCGCCCGUGGUCAGCAUGUCCGGCCCCGGGCUGCGGAUCACAUAGCUCUCUGUCUCACCACUUGCCAGGUGGAACGCACUGGACUGAACAGCCUAGAGAAGUGGGGUUGUGGUUUGGCCUCCGGGUCCUGCUGCACCUGCCCGCAGGUGACCAGCUGGGGGGCUGGCCCCUGGGCCACAAUCCUCACUUCCUUUUUUGCUGCAGACCUGUUCCUUCUUAGGUUGCCAUGGUUUCCGUGUGCUGUCUCGGCACUCACCUCCUGUAUUUAAAUUGAUGGUUAGAACAUUGUAAUCAUCCUGCAGAAGUACAGUGCCUUGAAUUCUGGCUUUUCCAUUCGCUGAUAGAAAGAGAUGUUUUAAAAAUUAAGUAUCAGGAGUUCCCACUGUGGAACAAUGGGAUCGGUGACAUCUUGAGAGCGCUGGGAGGCAGGUUUGAUCCCCGGCCUGGCACAGUGGGUUGAGGAGCCAGCGUUGCCGCAGCUGCAGAUUAGGUUGCAACUAUGGCUCGGAUCUGAUCCCUGGCCAGGGAACUCCAUAUGCUGUGGGGCAGCCAAAAAAGAAAAAAAAAAUUAUGUAUCAGAAAAGGUAUAUAUAUCAUUUACAGUUAAGUCGUGCAUUGAUUUCUUGCUUGCCCAUUUUAAGUCACAGAGAUAAGAAUGGUUUACACAUCUGACGCUAAAGUCUGAUUUUUCCCUUUCUGGUGUACAUGCCUUUAAAACAUUGAACUAGUGGACCUUGAAUACUGAAGAGUUGCAAUGCUCAAGGAGCUCUGCUUUGUACUUAUAAAACGAGGUCUCUCUAGCUGCACAGUCAGUGAUAGCAAACAGAUGGACACGCUCCCUCACCUUCAGCACUGUGGGCACUGCCAGCAAGCUGCCUGGCGGUACAUGGUUUGGGAGCGGUGCAUUGCCAGUGGUAGCUGGUCUCUUAGGGAGGAAGGUCAGCAUCUGUGUUUGGCUGUGUGGAACCUGCUGUAAAGUGCUUGCUAAGCAGACAUGCCCUCAUCACCCAAAACCUGCAGGGCUGCUGAGAAGGGGGCGAGAGGGACUAAAGGUGUGUGUCCGGUGCAGGAGCACAGGCAGGUUGCUGGCUCUGCAGAGACAGCGUGGCCCCUGCUGCCCAGAGGGCCCUCCAACCCUCCCGCCGCCGCCUGCCUGCCUGCCUCUUCUGUCAUUUGCACUGAGGCCUGUGGCUCCUGGCUUAGCCUUGCCAUGUGCUCACAGGCUGUUCCACUCAUCCCUGGCCUUCAGGCUAUUCUCCAGGCCCAGAGGCUGCCCUGCUGGGGGUGGAAUGUUCCUCUUCCAGAGAUUUCAGUGGCACUUGUCUCAGACAGGCACCUCACAGCCCAGGGCGGGAGCUGAAGGCCCCACACUUCACUGGCCAAGAUGGUUCCCCUUUCCCACUGGGAGGCAGCUGGUUGGGCUGCUCAGCUAUGAAUUGUACAGUUCUGCUGUACUUCAGGACUUUACUAGGACUGGCUGACUUAUUUUAGUUUAAAUAUAUUAUCCUAUCAAUUCAGUUAGAAUUGAAUUUUCUAGAUGAUUGUGCACAAUCUUCUGCCAGGGCAACAAUGCUAUAGUAAGAGAUUUCUGUUCUCUGUAAUGUGCCCCUCAGUCCUUGGGUUGAGAAUCACAUGCGCCUGGUUCCUGAGGGUGGUAGAAGCUGCCCUUUCCUGCUCCCCCUGCUGUACCAGACAUGGAGUCCUGGCCUUGGACAUGAACGGUCCCAGUGGCACAGAAUCCCCAAGAGAUUGUAUAUAUGAAGGAGAAAAAUAAACAUUUUUGCUUGAAAA